rnacentral:rRNA from 1 species
ACGUAGGGUGCGAGCGUUGUCCGGAAUUAUUGGGCGUAAAGGGCUCGUAGGCGGUUUGUCGCGUCGGGAGUGAAAACCAGGUGCUUAACACCUGGCUUGCUUUCGAUACGGGCAGACUAGAGGUAUUCAGGGGAGAACGGAAUUCCUGGUGUAGCGGUGAAAUGCGCAGAUAUCAGGAGGAACACCGGUGGCGAAGGCGGUUCUCUGGGAAUGACCUGACGCUGAGGAGCGAAAGUGUGGGGAGCGAACAGGA